GCUACACAUGCAGUCGAGGGGUAGAGGAAGCUUGCUUCCUUGAGACCGGCGCACGGGUGCGUAACGCGUAUGCAAUCUACCUUGUACAGAGGGAUAGCCCAGAGAAAUUUGGAUUAAUACCUCAUAGUGUUAUCGAAUCGCAUGGUUUGAUAACUAAAGUUCCAACGGUACAAGAUGAGCAUGCGUCCCAUUAGCUAGUUGGUGUGGUAACGGCAUACCAAGGCAAUGAUGGGUAGGGGUCCUGAGAGGGAGAUCCCCCACACUGGUACUGAGACACGGACCAGACUCCUACGGGAGGCAGCAGUGAGGAAUAUUGGACAAUGGGCGCAAGCCUGAUCCAGCCAUGCCGCGUGCAGGAUGACGGUCCUAUGGAUUGUAAACUGCUUUUAUACAGGAAGAAACCCUACCACGUGUGGUAGAUUGACGGUACUGUAGGAAUAAGGAUCGGCUAACUCCGUGCCAGCAGCCGCGGUAAUACGGAGGAUCCAAGCGUUAUCCGGAAUCAUUGGGUUUAAAGGGUCCGUAGGCGGUUUAAUAAGUCAGUGGUGAAAGCCCAUCGCUUAACGAUGGAACGGCCAUUGAUACUGUUAGACUUGAAUUAUUAGGAAGUAACUAGAAUAUGUAGUGUAGCGGUGAAAUGCUUAGAUAUUACAUGGAAUACCAAUUGCGAAGGCAGGUUACUACUAAUAUAUUGACGCUGAUGGACGAAAGCGUGGGGAGCGAACAGGAUUAGAUACCCUGGUAGUCCACGCCGU
rnacentral:rRNA from 2 species